GCACCGAUGAGAGUGGCGCACGGGUGCGUAACGCGUGAGCAACCUGCCCAUUUCAGGGGGAUAGCCCGGAGAAAUCCGGAUUAAGCCCGCAUAUGAUCACGUUGCCGCAUGGCGGAGUGAUGAAAUAUUUAUAGGAAAUGGAUGGGCUCGCGUGACAUUAGCUGGUUGGUAGGGUAACGGCCUACCAAGGCGACGAUGUCUAGGGGCUCUGAGAGGAGAAUCCCCCACACUGGUACUGAGACACGGACCAGACUCCUACGGGAGGCAGCAGUAAGGAAUAUUGGUCAAUGGAGGGAACUCUGAACCAGCCAUGCCGCGUGCAGGAAGACGGCCCUACGGGUUGUAAACUGCUUUUGCACGGGAAUAACCCUUUCUAUGUAUAGAGAGCUGAAUGUACCGUGAGAAUAAGGAUCGGCUAACUCCGUGCCAGCAGCCGCGGUAAUACGGAGGAUCCGAGCGUUAUCCGGAAUUAUUGGGUUUAAAGGGUGCGCAGGCGGGGAUCUAAGUCAGGGGUGAAAGACGGUGGCUCAACCAUCGCAGUGCCUUUGAUACUGGAUUUCUUGAAUGUACCUGAGGUAGGCGGAAUGUGGCAAGUAGCGGUGAAAUGCAUAGAUAUGCCACAGAACACCGAUUGCGAAGGCAGCUUACCAAAGUACGAUUGACGCUGAGGCACGAAAGCGUGGGGAUCGAACAGGAUUAGAUACCCUGGUAGUCCACGCCCUAAACGAUGAACACUCGAUGUCGGCGAUAGACAGUCGGCGUCCAAGCGAAAGCGUUAAGUGUUCCACCUGGGGAGUACGCCCGCAAGGGUGAAACUCAAAGGAAUUGACGGGGGCCCGCACAAGCGGAGGAGCAUGUGGUUUAAUUCGAUGAUACGCGAGGAACCUUACCCGGGCUUGAAAGUUACUGAAGAUAUCAGAGAUGAUAUCGUCCUUCGGGACAGGAAACUAGGUGCUGCAUGGCUGUCGU
rnacentral:rRNA from 1 species